AGCAUAUCAAUAAGCGGAGGAAAAGAAACCAACAGGGAUUGCCCUAGUAACGGCGAGUGAAGCGGCAACAGCUCAAAUUUGAAAUCUGGCUCCUUUGGGGUCCGAGUUGUAAUUUGUAGAGGGUGCUUUGGCGUCGGUUGUGGUCUAAGUUCCUUGGAACAGGACGUCACAGAGGGUGAGAAUCCCGUACGUGGCCGCCAGCCUUCGCCGUGUAAAGCCCCUUCGAUGAGUCGAGUUGUUUGGGAAUGCAGCUCUAAAUGGGAGGUAAAUUUCUUCUAAAGCUAAAUAUUUGCCAGAGACCGAUAGCGCACAAGUAGAGUGAUCGAAAGAUGAAAAGCACUUUGGAAAGAGAGUCAAAAAGCACGUGAAAUUGUUGAAAGGGAAGCGCUUGCAGCUAGACGUGCCUUGGGUUGAUCAGCCGGACUUUUGCCCGGUGCACUCUUCCUUUGGCAGGCCAGCAUCAGUUUGGGCGGCUGGAUAAAGGUCUGUUAAACGUGACUUCCUUCGGGGAGAGCUUAUAGGGCAGACGACAUGCAGCCAGCCUGAACUGAGGUCCGCGCAUCUGCUAGGAUGCUGGCAUAAUAGCUGUAAGCGGCCCGUCUUGAAACACGGACCAAGGAGUCUAACAUCUAUGCGAGUGUUUGGGUGUCAAGCCCGAGCGCGUAAUGAAAGUAAACGGAGGUGGGAACCUUUUAGGUGCACCAUCGACCGAUCUUGAUGUCUUCGGAUGGAUUUGAGUAAGAGCAUAGCUGUUGGGACCCGAAAGAUGGUGAACUAUGCCUGAAUAGGGUGAAGCCAGAGGAAACUCUGGUGGAGGCUCGCAGCGGUUCUGACGUGCAAAUCGAUCGUCAAAUUUGGGCAUAGGGGCGAAAGACUAAUCGAACUAUCUAGUAGCUGGUUCCUGCCGAAGUUUCCCUCAGGAUAGCAGUAACGUUUUCAGUUUUAUGAGGUAAAGCGAAUGAUUAGAGGCCUGGGGGUUGAAACAACCUUCACCUAUUCUCAAACUUUAAAUAUGUAAGAAGUCCUUGUUACUUAAUUGAACGUGGACAUUUGAAUGUAUCGUUACUAGUGGGCCAUUUUUGGUAAGCAGAACUGGCGAUGCGGGAUGAACCGAACGUGGGGUUAAGGUGCCAGAAUGCACGCUCAUCAGACACCACAAAAGGUGUUAGUUCAUCUAGACAGCAGGACGGUGGCCAUGGAAGUCGGAAUCCGCUAAGGAGUGUGUAACAACUCACCUGCCGAAUGAACUAGCCCUGAAAAUGGAUGGCGCUUAAGCGUGUUACCUAUACCCCGCCGCCAGGGCAGAAUUUAUGCCCUGGCGAGUAGGCAGGCG
rnacentral:rRNA from 2 species